GGGAGGUCUGGGUAAAGUGUGUGUCCGUGUGUGUGUGACGGAGAGAGCUUUAUAAAAGGUCUCGAGGUCGAAUCUGAAGUCAGUGUAGUGUCUAAUCGUCCGAAGUACUGCAGUCGCAAACAGGGGCAAUAAGAUGCAGACGUCCCACAGGCCUGUGCAGUGGCUCGCUGUCAUGCUUCUUGUCAUUGUUACAACCGGCCAGUGCCAACAAAGCGACAGUCGCCGAGCUGUAACUGAACACCAGCUGAUGCAUGACCGCGGCCGAACCAUCCAGAGUCUCAAGAGACUCUUCUGGCUGUCCAGCGCGAUCGAGGGUCUCCACACAGCACAGACCCGCUCUGCCGCUUUCAGCCCCACAAAGGUCUUAAACCUGGCUCUGAAUCCAGAGCUGAUCCCUGAUGAUGGAAACCCCCAGAACGCCCGAGUCAGGAGCCUCCUGAGAGACUUCUUUAAUCCAUACCUGCCAAACGGGGACGACUAACAACGCACAGAAGCAAAAACAUGAAGCUAAACAUAUAUGAAAAUUUUAUUGUGUCAAUUGUUUGAAUAAUAAAAUGCACAAAAAGCACAACUACAAAAUCAUCCGGAGUGCCCAAAGCACCCAUUCAGCUGCAGAUGUGUCUCAAGUGUUUAAAAGCAGCUGUAAGUUUAAGUUUAGUUAAUAGAGCUGCAUGAAAGUGUUUCAGUGGGUGUAGUGGUAAGGUUUCAAUGUAUGACUGCAUACGUCUAUAUGACUGCAUAGGCUUUAAAAAACAUUUAUUGGGGUUUAUUGAUGUUGUUGUUUUUUGUUUUUUAAUCAUGACUGAAUAUCACACGUUAAGGCCAACACACACCAAAUUAUCUAGAUAACGAAUAUAAAACUUGUUGGUUAUUGCAGACUUUUUUCAAUAUCCAGCUUUAGUUUUAGGACCAGCAUAUUCAUGUGUUUGAAAGCCAUUUAGACAAUUUCAUAACUGCAGAUGAUGCCUGCAAAACUCAAAGUCACAAUAAACCUAACUGUGACAGUUAAAAAAUACAUGAUUUAGUCUGUUAUAUAUUUUUUGCAUUCAUGGAAAAAUAAGCUUUUUUUGUGCAGAUAUUUAAAAAAAAUCAUACUUAUACUAAAAUGUUAAAUGCUCAAAUUAAUUUUGCAGUUUAAUUUGUGAUGUUCUUUUUUUGACCAUUUUCCUACAGCUGGUUACCAAAGUUGAAUAGGCUUACUUUUUGUAAACUAAAUGCUGUAACUCUUCAGUUUUCAGUUUUGGGAAAAAAUUGCCACCUGGUAACAGCAAGCAUAAAUAUUUAAAAGACUGUAUGCAGAUUUCUCCUGUAUAUAUUCUUUGAAUUAUAAACACAUCAUCCCUGAUAUACAAAAGCUGUGAUACGUCACCCAGCUCUGCUACAUAUUUUCCAGCUCUCAUUCUCUCCAUCAAAUGCAAAUAUACAAAUUUUGGAUUCGGCAGAAAGAUGGCGAAAGUAUGAAGCCCAGAAAAAAGUGUAGGACGGAGACAGUUUGAGAUCCCACACAAAGGCAUGUAGCAGUUUUAAAGAACCUGAUCUGGAUGAGAACCAAAAUUUAUUUGGUUCUUUUAAAUAGUUUUUAUGUGAUUUUGCUGGCAGAGAAGCAGCAUGGGAUUUUCCCAAAUACAUUUGGGAGAAAACAACGCUCCUGACUUCAACAAAACUUAAAUCAAGUAAAUUAGUUAAUUUGUUUUUCUAAAUACCCCUUCAAUGUCCACUUUAUAACAUAAAAAUAGCAUUUUAAUGAUGUUGUCUUUUGUUAAUGUUAAAAAGUCCUUGAAGCAUGAGACUGAACAUAUUUACAUACCUGCAGCUAUGCUUCUCCCACACCUCAGAAGUGCUUUUUUUUUAUCAUUAACUGAAAUAUUUUCAGGUUGGUCUCUUUUGUCCUUUAUUGUGCUGCUUUUAGCAAAUUUGCCUGAUGCACAACAGUGUUGUUGAUUUUUUGGAGGUGUCAGUUGCUCUGCAUCCUACAGCUGCCCAUAGCAUCCGUCUCUGCAAAGUUUUUGCAGGGAGUCUAACCUGAACUUAACAGGUUAGACGUAGCACUGUGUGCUAUGAUAGAUUCUGAAAAGAGAACCCAAGAAAGUAAAUGCAGAGGUAACAGCAACCUGAAAGUCGAGAGAUUCAAGGGGUGCCCCUGAAUGUAAGCAUCUCCAUCCAACGAUUCCAAAAAGUCCCAUUGUCCAAUAAGUACUAUACAGUAACAAAGACCCAGACAAAGAUGUGCUGCCUAACAAAACAAGGAUGUGACUGCAGGUGAAAACCAUGUUAUUUGUACAGCAGAAAAGGCAAUAGAGAGUUAUGUUCAAUUACAGCAGCAUGGUCUGAUUUAACUCCUAUACUGAAGCUGAUGGAGGAUUUUGACUUUCAGCCUUUACAGUGAAGUCAUGUUACAAAGUGAAUGAUUACAAACACAAAAAAGCCUGUAAUACAGGAAGGAAUGAGGGACUUUAGGCUGCAGCUACUACAUUCAAAAAGACUGAUGCAACUGUGUAAGAGGGAGAGGAAAGGAGGGAAAUGAUGACUCAUUUAGAUCUUAUUGCAAAUAUCUGACAUCAUUUGCAUUUGGCUUUGUGCAACUUUUAUUCAGCUGUCAGCAUGUUGGAAAAUGUGCAUGAUCAUUGUGCUUUUCUUGGCUGCAUUAGACCAGUGCUUUGUGUAAAAUAAAAUCAGUGCGUUGUGGUUGGUUCAGUAGUAAAAAUGCAAACCUGUGUUAAGUUUAACAUGUCAUAUAGUGCAGCUUGAAUUUACCCAGAGUCAGUAACAUUUCCAAAUUUGUGUGAUCAGUGUAUAAAGAAAUGUGCAAGGAUGUAUGCAACACUAAUCUGAAUGCUUGCAAUUUUACCUUGUGAAUAUUUAUAUUAAACUAAGUGGUGCACAGUUGUACACACGGUCACGGUCUGUGUCAGCUUACUGCUUAAAGGGGACUCAUUAUGCUUUGUCUUAUCAGUCAGUGUCACAGAUUUUACCUGAAUCUGAGCAGAGAGCACAGAGUUCAUCCUGUUCGUCCUGCCAACCUGGUUCAGGUUUUUCCUGGUACCAGGAAACCAGGGAUUGUCCAUUGUUUCCGGGCUGUGCAGUUAGUGUUAGAUGUUAUCUGGUCAAGUCUAAUCUGGCCUUCUUGUUCCCAAAUACAACCUGUUGUUUGCACCUUGUCACAAACCCUCUGUAUUUCUGUCUCUAAUCUCAUGAUUAGAGACUUUGACAAUGAUAAAGGAACCUCCUCGCGAGUGUUCUUGACUCGGUUACAUGGUGUGAAGGGUUUUUCUUAACCCAGGAAAGAGUUCUGGAAUCAUCCACUUUAGGUGUCUUCUGUGGUCUCUGAGGCAUUUUGCAUUCAACACCUCUUUGGGCCUCAUAUUGAAAGCUCAGUUAACUCCAGAUAUCUGUUAAAUUUGUCAUGGAAUAAUAAGGGAAUGUGUAAUUAUUUGCCUCUGAGAAUGGGGGGGUAUUCUACUGUAUAUAGUAUUUUAUUUUAUUCUAAUUUUUGCUUCAUAACUUUUGCACUGUCCACUUCCUGCUGUGACAAAACAAAUUUCCCACGUGUGGGACUAAUAAAGGUUAUCUUAUCUUAUCUUAUCUUAUCUUAUGUCCUUGCUGACCUGCAUUUGCUCCCUGCCAAAUACCGAAUUGAGUGUUAGUUCUGUUGCUUACCUUUACAAUCAUAAACAAUACCGCGCCGUGCUACCUCAUUGAACUCCUUAGUCCAUAUACCCCUAGGAGAGCCCUAAGAUCAUCGGGACAAUUACUCUUAGUGCAGACUGGAUCCCGGCUAAAGACCAGAGGUGACUGUGCUUUUGACCUAGCAGCCCCGAGCCUCUGGAACAAUCUUCCUGCUGCUAUUCGCGCCUCUGAUUCCAUCUAUUCAUUUAAAUCUCAGUUAAAAACGUACCUGUUUGACCAAGCGUUUUCAGUUAGUUAGUGCACAUCCCCUAUAUUUUACCCUGAUGUUAUUUAUCUUCUACUAAUGUUCCCCUGUAUAAAUACCCCCACCUUAUAUUUAUGAAUACCCAGUAAUUUUAUCUCCUAAACUAAGCUCUAAUGUUUUAUUUCUUAUUUUGUCUGUACUUUUGGGGUUUUUUGUACUCUGUUAUAGCCUUUUAUCUUAUAUCUUAUGUU